rnacentral:rRNA from 1 species
GAUGAACGCUGGCGGCGUGCCUAAUACAUGCAAGUCGAGCGAACGGACGAGAAGCUUGCUUCUCUGAUGUUAGCGGCGGACGGGUGAGUAACACGUGGAUAACCUACCUAUAAGACUGGGAUAACUUCGGGAAACCGGAGCUAAUACCGGAUAAUAUUUUGAACCGCAUGGUUCAAAAGUGAAAGACGGUCUUGCUGUCACUUAUAGAUGGAUCCGCGCUGCAUUAGCUAGUUGGUAAGGUAACGGCUUACCAAGGCAACGAUGCAUAGCCGACCUGAGAGGGUGAUCGGCCACCCUGGAACUGAGACACGGUCCAGACUCCUACGGGAGGCAGCAGUAGGGAAUCUUCCGCAAUGGGCGAAAGCCUGACGGAGCAACGCCGCGUGAGUGAUUAAGGUCUUCGGAUCGUAAAACUCUGUUAUUAGGGAAGAACAUAUGUGUAAGUAACUGUGCACAUCUUGACGGUACCUAAUCAGAAAGCCACGGCUAACUACGUG